ACCCGCUGAAUUUAAGCAUAUCAAUAAGCGGAGGAAAAGAAACCAACAGGGAUUGCCCCAGUAACGGCGAGUGAAGCGGCAACAGCUCAAAUUUGAAAUCUGGCCCCAGGCCCGAGUUGUAAUUUGCAGAGGAUGCUUUUGGCGCGGUGCCUUCCGAGUUCCCUGGAACGGGACGCCAUAGAGGGUGAGAGCCCCGUACGGUUGGACACCAAGCCUUUGUAAAGCUCCUUCGACGAGUCGAGUAGUUUGGGAAUGCUGCUCUAAAUGGGAGGUACAUUUCUUCUAAAGCUAAAUAUUGGCCAGAGACCGAUAGCGCACAAGUAGAGUGAUCGAAAGAUGAAAAGCACUUUGAAAAGAGGGUUAAACAGCACGUGAAAUUGUUAAAAGGGAAGCGCUUGUGACCAGACUUGCGUCCGGUGAAUCACCCAGCUCUCGCGGCUGGGGCACUUCGCCGGCACAGGCCAGCAUCAGCUUGCCGUCGGGGACAAAAGCUUCAGGAACGUGGCUCCUCUCGGGGAGUGUUAUAGCCUGUUGCAUAAUACCCUUCGGCGGGCUGAGGUACGCGCUCCGCAAGGAUGCUGGCGUAAUGGUCAUCAGCGACCCGUCUUGAAAACACGGAA
rnacentral:rRNA from 1 species